rnacentral:rRNA from 1 species
AACAGUACGUGAAAUUGUCGAAAGGGAAGCGCUUAAAGUUAGACAUGCCUAUUGGGAUUAGCCUUGCUUUUGCUUGGUGUAUUUCCCGGUGAGCAGGCCAGCAUCAGUUUCGGCUGUCGGAUAAGGGUUAGAGGAAUGUGGCCCCUCGGGGUGUUAUAGCCUUUAACUGGAUACGGCGGCUGGGACUGAGGAACGCAGCGUGCCUUUAUGGCGGGCCUUCGGGCACCUUCACGCUUAGGAUGCUGGCGUAAUGGCUUUAAGCGACCCGUCUUGAAACACGGACCGAGGAGUCUAACAUGUCUGCGAGUCUUUGGGUGACAAACCCAUAGGCGCAAUGAAAGUGAAUGCAGGUGGGAUCCUCACGGAGCACCAUCGACCGAUCCGGAUUUUCUAUGAUGGAUUUGAGUAAGAGCAUAUAUGUUGGGACCCGAAAGAUGGUGAACUAUGCCUGAAUAGGGCGAAGCCAGAGGAAACUCUG